AUUGAACGCUGGCGGCAUGCCUUACACAUGCAAGUCGAACGGCAGCACGGGAGCAAUCCUGGUGGCGAGUGGCGAACGGGUGAGUAAUAUAUCGGAACGUGCCCAGUCGUGGGGGAUAACGCAGCGAAAGCUGUGCUAAUACCGCAUACGAUCUACGGAUGAAAGCGGGGGAUCGCAAGACCUCGCGCGAUUGGAGCGGCCGAUAUCAGAUUAGCUAGUUGGUGGGGUAAAGGCCCACCAAGGCGACGAUCUGUAGCUGGUCUGAGAGGACGAUCAGCCACACGGGAACUGAGACACGGGCCAGACUCCUACGGGAGGCAGCAGUGGGGAAUUUUGGACAAUGGGCGCAAGCCUGAUCCAGCAAUGCCGCGUGCAGGAUGAAGGCCUUCGGGUUGUAAACUGCUUUUGUACGGAGCGAAAAGGCUCUCUCUAAUACAGGGGGCUCAUGACGGUACCGUAAGAAUAAGCACCGGCUAACUACGUGCCAGCAGCCGCCGUAAGAC
rnacentral:rRNA from 1 species